AGCUUUGCUCAGUGGCAGUAUUAUGACCAACGAACUACUCCAUCUAAGGCAUGGUUACUGCUAAUUGAAAACUUUUCCCAAUACAACUAUUGAAAUAUAGUUUGGAUUGGCAUUUUUUGGACAGUCUGUAUGGAA
rnacentral:snRNA from 1 species